CUGGCCCCCGGGCCCUGCUAAGGAGCCUGGACGCAGCCCUCUGCUCCGAGGAGCAAUAUUCCUGGCCAGACAUGAAAGGAGAGAUUAUAACAGCCCAUUUUCUGCAGGCAGCUUAUCCUGAGGCAUUUUACAUAAUUAAAAGGAGCUCUGUGACAAAUCGCACCACCCAGUACACCCGUGACAGACAUCUCUGAAUUGCCUGGGGGGAUGAGCCGGUUCCUCAGUGAUGGGUUUUCCCGGCUCGGCGGCGUGGAGGCGAAGGCCGCGUCUGCAGACUUCACGGGGAACUGCGGCCCCUCCUUGACCUCCCUGCUGUCGGGGUCCCCGAUGGUUGAAUGAGCGGCCCUGUGAUGUGUCAGGACCUUCCCUGAGAGACCCAAAGGGAGCCAUUCAUUAGGACGGCGCUUGAGCCUAAAGCUGACCUGCCCCGUCUGAAGGCAGAUCGCCCAUGAAAGCCCCCGGCGUUACUUUAUUCCUGGAAUCUUAAUUACAAGGCAGCACCAGGACGGAUGUAUUAAGUAGCUUCAAUUCAUCCCGGCCCGCGGCCCCGAUGCGAUGGCGCCCCGAAGGCUUGGUGGCAGAUAACCGCUGAUGCGGAAGCGAGUUCCAGCGUUUAUGUUUGUGAGAUUUGGCCGCAUCCUCGCGCGUCGUGCUAGAGCGUUCCUUCCCGUUUUCACACCGCGAUCCAUUGUGUGGCUGUGCCCCAGCGGGCCUCUGCUGCCAACGACGAGGAGCUACUAGUUUCUACUUUGGGGCCGAACAAAUACUGCUGCUGGGAACAUUCUAGUUCGUGCUUUUUGUCGAACGUCUGUGAGCCUUUCUGCUUGAGAACGCGCCUGGGAGCCUGCGAGGACCUACUUCAGCUGUAAGGGGUGGACUCAGCCGCGGAGGCUGUGCCCAUGACACCCUGCCUGUGGGGAAUGACUUGUGUCUGCGGCACCACGACUUGGCCGACGUUGGGUGUUUUCGUGCUAGACCUUUCCAUUGCGAUCGCCUCCUCUGUUCCCUCCCCUCUCCUCCUCUCGCUUUGCCUUCACAAACAUGGCCAUUUUGCUUUUGACAAAGGUGUGAAAGCAAUUCAGUGAAGAAGGAGUAGUCUGUUCAACAAAUGGUGUUUGAACAACGGGACUUCAGUAUGUGAAAAAAGAGAGAGAGAGAGAGAGAAAGAAAAUGAAUCUUGACCUUAACUUUUCUUGUAUGCUGCUUGCCUGUGUGCGUUCUUUUCAAACGAGAACGUGUGUUCUUUUCAAAAGUGCUUUCCACUUUUCAAUUAUAAAAAUCGUGUUAGCAACGGAGUCUCAGUAGAGUCCCCAAAGCAGAGCUCAUGGGGCUACUUUCUCCGACUUCAGUGAAAAACAAUCAGAAAUUAGUAUAAAAAGAACUUGAGCUCCCAGAGGCAGAGGGUUUCUUUGGUGUUCCGCAGCUGUGUCCCUAGAGUCUAGAAUAGUGCUGGAGACCUGUUUUUGAAUUAAUGAAAAAUAUAAGCAAGCAUAUCAGUUAGAAUGCAUUCAACAGAAAUUAGCAGAGGACCUAAGGAAGGACAUUUAUUGUUCUUUGAGUGUCUAGAGGUGGGUUUUCCAGACUCCAUUCAACAUCUUCAUUGAGGAUCCAAGCCCUUUCUUUCCUUCUGCUUUGUGUUCUCUUUAUGUUGGCUCUUUGUCCCCACAGUCCCAAGAUGACAGCAACGAUUAUUAUAGCAUUAAUAAUUAUUAGUAUUAACAAUUAAUUAUUAAUAAUAUUAAUUAUUACUAUGGUAAUGGCACUUUGCAUGACUUCCUUGGUGUCAUCCAUUGUUUUGAGCCCCUUUUUAUAUUUUCACUCAUUAAAUUAUCAUACACUUCUAUAAGGUUUUCCUCUUUAAAUGUGGGGAAACUGAGGCAGAGAGCUACGCAGUGACUUGUCCAAGUUAUAGAGCCAAUAACGGAUAGAACGGGAGCUGAGCCCAGGCUUAGCCCACAGUCUGGGUUCACCCUCUAAGCUGUGCUGCGGCACCAGGUAUUUACUGUCAGAGCCAAAGCAGGACAAAACGGGCUGGAUGGUGUCAUGUGGCUGCCCUGGGAAAGCAGGCUGGCACAGUGAGUCGCUGGCGGUGGGAGACAGAAGCCCCAGGAUGUCUUCAGACAAACCAUGGUCCCUGCCUGAGAGCUGGGCAGACUGCCACCCCGAACAGAACGUGGGUUCCCAACACAAGGGAGAAGUAGGAAAUCCAGUCAGCCCUGGGGAAUAACACCUCUGCCACCUUAAAUUAAAAAAAAAAAAAUCCAUCCUCUUGCAAAUUAUGGAACAAUUUCCCAGAUAACUUGGGUGGAAGAGCAAAUGAAAAACAAAUGAAAAAUUAUUUAGGAAUCAUUGAGAAUGGAUGAACUAAAGUGGACCCCCACUUUAGGAAAAACCUAAAGAGAAAAAUAACCCAUGGGAGAAAUGGAAGAGGUGACCUGAAGACUUCCCGUGUCAACAGAACAACGAUGAUUGGCAGAGAACAGACCCAGGCCACUUGGCAGGCGCGCUCUAACUCUUUAAGGAGUGGGCGUCACCUGUACUAUAUAAACUGCUCUACAGAAUAAAAAAAGAUGAUUUCCAGCUCCUUUGGUGAAGCUAGCAUAAUCCUGACACCAAAUCCAGACAAGACUAGGACAAAAAAUAUUUUUGGCCACCCCACUUAACAAAAAAUUCCAACUGAAACCUAUGAGAGAAAACGUGGCCGUGUGUUGGAAGACCACAUGUAUCCCGGGAAUGAAAGGAUGGUUCCACUUUGGGGAGUCUCUUCGUGCAGUCCCCAAUCGUAUCUGGUGAAAGAGAAACGUGAUGUGACCAUUCCUUCCCCUGACCUUCCAGGGUCUGCCCUAUAGCUUGCAUUUCCCGGACUUCCCUGCAACCCGGUCCCUGUUUAGUUUCUGCUAACUCACUGGUCUGGGAAACAGGAGAAGCAGCUGGGAGGGGGUGGUCUGGGAUGUGGGACAGGGACAAUGAGCGCCGUUGAGCAGGCCACAGACCGCCUGACCUUGGUGACACCAAUGUAGGGAGACGACAUGAAGGUACCCUGGUAGCUGUGCGAUUCCUAGACUCCACCCCGAGGGGUUCUGCAACAUAGAGCAGAAUUCAAAAUAUUAGGUACCGAGGGUCCCUUCCAAAAGAUAUACCUCCCUCUGUCAGCCAAAGUAAGGGAGAAGCGUAGGAGUUCCUCUUUCAAAGAAUUCUAAUUUAGAUACUGCUUGUAUUUGUGCGUGUGUGCACGCGUGCACAACAGUGUGCAUAUUUUUCUGAACGUUGUUACAAUAAAUUCACGUUUUCAACUUU